GUCCACGCCGUAAACUUUGGGUGCUAGGCGUCGCGGGUAUUGACCCCUGCGGUGCCGCAGCUAACGCAUUAAGCACCCCGCCUGGGGAGUACGGUCGCAAGAUUAAAACUCAAAGGAAUUGACGGGGGCCCGCACAAGCGGUGGAGCAUGUGGUUCAAUUCGAAGCAACGCGCAGAACCUUACCUGGGCUUGACAUCUGGAGAACCCCCUGGAAACAGGGGGUGCCUUCGGGAACUCCAAGACAGGUGCUGCAUGGCUGUCGU
rnacentral:rRNA from 1 species